rnacentral:rRNA from 1 species
CACGUAGGGGACGAGCGUUGUCCGGAUUCAUUGGGCGUAAAGCGCGCGUAGGCGGCUCGGUAAGUCGGUCGUGAAAUGCCGGGGCUCAACCCCGGGACUGCGUCCGAUACUUCCGGGCUGGAGGUAGGUAGGGGAGAUCGGAAUUCCUGGUGUAGCGGUGAAAUGCGCAGAUAUCAGGAGGAACACCGGUGGCGAAGGCGGAUCUCUGGGCCAUUACUGACGCUGAGGAGCGAAAGCGUGGGUAGCAAACAGG